CACGUAGGGGGCGAGCGUUGUCCGGAUUUAUUGGGCGUAAAGAGCUCGUAGGCGGCUCGGUAAGUCAGGUGUGAAAACUCUAGGCUCAACCUAGAGACGCCACCUGAUACUGCUGUGGCUAGAGUCCGGUAGGGGAGCAUGGAAUUCCUGGUGUAGCGGUGAAAUGCGCAGAUAUCAGGAGGAACACCAGUGGCGAAGGCGCCACUCUGGGCCGAAACUGACGCUGAGGAGCGAAAGCGUGGGUAGCAAACAGG
rnacentral:rRNA from 1 species